rnacentral:rRNA from 1 species
UACGUAGGGGGCUAGCGUUGUCCGGAAUUACUGGGCGUAAAGGGCGCGUAGGCGGCGUGACAAGUCACUUGUGAAAUCUCCGGGCUUAACCCGGAGCGGCCAAGUGAUACUGUCGUGCUAGAGUGCGGAAGGGGCUACUGGAAUUCUCGGUGUAGCGGUGAAAUGCGUAGAUAUCGAGAGGAACACCUGCGGCGAAGGCGGGUAGCUGGGCCGACACUGACGCUGAGGCGCGAAAGCCAGGGGAGCGAACGGG